rnacentral:lncRNA from 1 species
CGAACACACCUUCAAUAAUAUUAAUACAGUGGGUGGCUGUCAACACAGACCACAAACAGGGCCUCUGCCUCAGUUCCCUGGUGCUAAAGUUCUUACAACAAAGGUAAAGAAUGAGGGCAGAGGAACACAAUGGGUUGGAAGAGAAAUGAAGUUAAAAAAAAAACAAAACCCAGAGGGUGUGAGCCUCUGUCAGUGCAAUGGGCUUCCGGGUUCCCUGUGCUGAGGAAGGAUGGGCAGCAAGACCCAAGUUUCCUGGGAUUUUGCAGACUCUGGAGUGAAGCCACCGCCCAGACGGGAUGUGUACCUUAGGUUAGUGUAUGCAUAGGACGGGAACAGGUCCGGGAAGGCUCCCUGGCAGCUCAGCCCUCUGAGGACGCAGAAAGCGGGAGGGGCGCGGCGUGGAACGCGUGGCUUCAAGGCAGGAGCAGCGCCUUGGACUCACGGUGUCCAUAGCGUC